rnacentral:rRNA from 1 species
GACGAACGCUGGCGGCGUGCUUAACACAUGCAAGUCGAACGGAAAGGCCCUGCUUUUGUGGGGUGCUCGAGUGGCGAACGGGUGAGUAACACGUGAGUAACCUGCCCUUGACUUUGGGAUAACUUCAGGAAACUGGGGCUAAUACCGGAUAGGAGCUCCUGCUGCAUGGUGGGGGUUGGAAAGUUUCGGCGGUUGGGGAUGGACUCGCGGCUUAUCAGCUUGUUGGUGGGGUAGUGGCUUACCAAGGCUUUGACGGGUAGCCGGCCUGAGAGGGUGACCGGCCACAUUGGGACUGAGAUACGGCCCAGACUCCUACGGGAGGCAGCAGUGGGGAAUAUUGCACAAUGGGCGGAAGCCUGAUGCAGCAACGCCGCGUGCGGGAUGACGGCCUUCGGGUUGUAAACCGCUUUCGCCUGUGACGAAGCGUGAGUGACGGUAAUGGAUAAAGAAGCGCCGGCUAACUACGUG